rnacentral:ncRNA from 1 species
CUUGUGGACUGUCACAUCAAAUGAGAGUAGACUUUUUAGGAACCUAUAGAGUCAAAAUCAGGCAGGAUGAAGCAAGAA